CCAAAGGCCCUUUUCAGGGCCAACCACAUUCUUUUAAAAGAGCUG
rfam:Sarcophilus harrisii ctg7180002499694, whole genome shotgun sequence.